rnacentral:rRNA from 25 species
CGCUUACCACUUUGUGAUUCAUGACUGGGGUGAAGUCGUAACAAGGUAACCGUAGGGGAACCUGCGGUUGGAUCACCUCCUUACCUUAAAGAAGC